rnacentral:rRNA from 1 species
UACGGGGGGGGCAAGCGUUGUUCGGAAUUACUGGGCGUAAAGGGCUCGUAGGCGGCCAACUAAGUCAGACGUGAAAUCCCUCGGCUUAACCGGGGAACUGCGUCUGAUACUGGAUGGCUUGAGGUUGGGAGAGGGAUGCGGAAUUCCAGGUGUAGCGGUGAAAUGCGUAGAUAUCAGGAAGAACACCAACGGCGAAGGCAGCUCGCUAGGACGGUACUGACGCUGAGACGCGAAAGCGUGGGGAGCGAACAGG